GGGGACCUAGCUCAGUUGGGAGAGCAGCAGACUGAGGUACCCAUAAAUCUCAUCAAUGCUAUUCUAAAGGUACCGCGUUUAAUCCGCGGUAUCCUCA